rnacentral:misc_RNA from 1 species
GUGAGUCAUCGAAUCUUUGAACGCACAUUGCGCCCUAUGGUAUUCCGUAGGGCAUGCCUGUCUGAGCGUCAGCAACCAACCAACUCAAGAUGAAUUUUUUCUAUCUUGGACUUGAUUUAGAAAAGUAGUUUGUGAUAAACUACUUUCUAGAAAAACAGAGGCAGUAUGGUUUGUAACCUUUAACCGGACGUAAUAAAAACAAUAAAAUCGUCUAAGUUUGGUACGAAAUCUGUACUUGCCAAUUUAAACCCACUAUAUUAUAACAUGGUGACCUCAGAUCAGGUAGGGAUACCCGCUGAA